rnacentral:rRNA from 1 species
CUACCAGGGUAUCUAAUCCUGUUUGCUACCCAUGCUUUCGCUCCUCAGCGUCAGUUACGGCCCAGAGCGGCGCCUUCGCCGCUGGUGUUCCUCAUGAUAUCUGCGCAUUUCACCGCUACACCAUGAAUUCCCCGCUCCCCUACCGUACUCUAGUCAUAGCAGUAUCGGGUGGCCUCUCUGGGUUGAGCCCAGAGUUUUCACACCCGACUUACCAAACCGCCUACGAGCUCUUUACGCCCAAUAAAUCCGGAUAACGCUUGGUGCCUACGUGUUACCGCGGCUGCUGGCAC